CCUACGGGUGGCAGCAGUGAGGAAUAUUGGUCAAUGGGCGCGAGCCUGAACCAGCCAAGUCGCGUGAGGGAGGACGGCCCUACGGGUUGUACACCUCUUUUGCCGGGGAGCAACGGGCGCCACGUGUGGCGUCACUGAGAGUACCCGGAGAAAAAGCAUCGGCUAACUCCGUGCCAGCAGCCGCGGUAAUACGGAGGAUGUGAGCGUUAUCCGGAUUUAUUGGGUUUAACGGGUGCGUAGGCGGAUCGUUAAGUACGUGGUAAAAUUGAGGGGCUCAACCCCUUCCAGCCAUUGAAACUGGCGUUCUUGAGUGGAAGAGAAGUAUGCGGAAUGCGUGGUGUAGCGGUGAAAUGCAUAGAUAUCACGCAGAACCCCGAUUGCGAAGGCAGCAUGCCGGCUUCCGACUGACGCUGAAGCACGAAAGCGUGGGGAUCGAACAGGAUUAGAUACCCUUGUAGUC
rnacentral:rRNA from 1 species